AGCGCGUGCCGCCCCUCACCUGUCUGCAGCCACAUGUAAACCUUGGGAGAAACCCGGGGAUAGCUUCUGUGGCUCAGGAACGUUUCACGUUUUUGCAGAGGUCAGGGUGAGCAGAAUUCAGAACCACAUGCGCUCGACUCAGACUUCGCUUCUGCUUGAAUGAAGUUGGAAAUGGAUUCUUCCCCAGAUAAGAAACCAGCUCACCAACACCUUGAAUUUGGUCUUGGGAGACCCUAAGCAGAGAACACAGAGCCGGCGGUCACCAUCCACCCACUGGGAUGUGGCAUGUGGGACAGGAAGAAGGUGGAUCUGAGCCCGUGGUCCUAAACAGGGGAAUGAUGAAAGGAAUCAUCACAAAAGGAUUCAAAAGAUUCAUCUAUACUCAGAAGUAUUAGUCACAAUGUAAUUUGAGGAUAAUGAUGAACUCAUGUUUUACCUAAAUCAAGCAGUGAUAAAUGAAAAGUGAUAAAUGAUAAAGCAGAAAUGAUCCUCUAAGCAGUCCUGCCACUGACCAUGACUUAGGGAAACUAGCAGACAAUACCAUAAAUGUUUUGUAGGUGUCACAAUGACAGGAAUCCAAUUCCCCAGCAGUCUCUGUGGCAACGUAAGACAGUUGGCAUAAACCAAUGAGUUUCUAUGAUAAUUUUUAUUACUAAUUAAUCUUGCUACUUAUCACAGUUACUAUUACUUUAGAUACCAAUUGGUA